rnacentral:lncRNA from 1 species
CAAAUUUGACAUACAUAACACCAAAUAUGAUCAUGAUUAGCCAUUCCAAUGGCUAAUCAUUACCAAGCAUUUCCAUACCACUCAAUAACCAUAUCAUAAGACCAUAUAUACAAAAUGAUUAUAAUGCUAUACAUGCCAUACUCAAAAUAUACAAGCCAUUAUGCCAAGAUGGUAUACGGAUAGUGUGAGCGAGCCUCCGACCGUUCCCGAUUUCCGAGCUGGCUUGUCAAAACU